rnacentral:rRNA from 1 species
GACGAACGCUGGCGGCGUGCUUAACACAUGCAAGUCGAACGGAAAGGCCCUGCUUUUGUGGGGUGCUCGAGUGGCGAACGGGUGAGUAACACGUGAGUAACCUGCCCUUGACUUUGAGAUAACUUCAGGAAACUGGGGCUAAUACCGGAUAGGAGCUCCUGCUGCAUGGUGGGGGUUGGAAAGUUUCGGCGGUUGGGGAUGGACUCGCGGCUUAUCAGCUUGUUGGUGGGGUAGUGGCUUACCAAGGCUUUGACGGGUAGCCGGCCUGAGAGGGUGACCGGCCACAUUGGGACAGAGAUACGGCCCAGACUCCUACGGGAGGCAGCAGUGGGGAAUAUUGCACAAUGGGCGGAAGCCUGAUGCAGCAACGCCGCGUGCGGGAUGACGGCCUUCGGGUUGUAAACCGCUUUCGCCUGUGACGAAGCGUGAGUGACGGUAAUGGGUAAAGAAGCACCGGCUAACUACGUG